rnacentral:rRNA from 1 species
CCUACGGGUUGCAGCAGUGGGGAAUAUUGCACAAUGGGGGAAACCCUGAUGCAGCGACGCCGCGUGAGCGAAGAAGUAUUUCGGUAUGUAAAGCUCUAUCAGCAGGGAAGAAAAUGACGGUACCUGAGUCAGAAGCUCCGGCUAAAUACGUGCCAGCAGCCGCGGUAAUACGUAUGGAGCAAGCGUUAUCCGGAUUGACUGGGCGGAAAGGGAGCGUAGGCGGCCUGCCAAGUCUGAUGUGAAAUACCGGGGCUCAACCCCGGGGCUGCAUUGGAAACUGGCAGGCUGGAGUGCCGGAGAGGCAGGCGGAAUUCCUAGUGUAGCGGUGAAAUGCUUAGAUAUCACGAAGAACUCCGAUUGCGAAGGCAGCUUACUAAACUGCCACUGACAUUGAUGCUCGAAAGUGUGGGUAUCAAACAGGAUUAGAUACCCGAGUAGUC